ensembl:lncRNA
CUCUAGGGGAAAAUCUGUUUCCUAUCCCUUUUUACCUUCUAGAAACUACCUGCAUUCCUUGGCUCAUGGCUCUUUUUUCCACCUUUAAAUCCAACAGCAUGACAUCUUCCAUAAUCACAUCACUUUCUGUGACUCUGACACUCCUGCCUCCUUCUUAUAAGGACACUUGUGAUGAUAUUUGGCCCAUUGAAUAAUCCAGGAUAAUCUCCAAUUUCAUAAUCUCUAACUGAAUCAUAUCUUUGUAUUCUCUUUUUGCCAUGUAAGGUUACAUACUCACAGAUUUGGGAUUAGGAUGUGGGCAUCUGGGGAGGGCAGUAGUUUACUACAGGUGUUUUAUGACCAGCCUAUUUAGUAAUAAAAUCCUGAAAAUGUUUACUGGCCAGUGAACCUAAGAGUUAUGAAUCAAAUAUUAAAGCCUAUUUAAGAAAAGAAAUGAACAAACCUUUAUCAUUCCCAUUUGACUUCUGAGAGCCAAAUUUGGAAUUGUGGUAUAUGGCAAGCCAGAAAGGGUCAGAAAUAGUAACAGAGAGAUUUAGAGAUGAGAUUCUCAAAAUAGAGGAGAUAUCUGAGCAGGAGUUUGAGAACUGGAGGAAGUUCAGGCAGUACAGAGGCUCUGAUGAGACAUGUGACAUGGAUGGCGCUGUCAGAUUGAGUGUUCACCAGAUAAAUGAACGGAUGGAGAAUUACCAUAUGCUUUCUCCUCUGGGCGAUGCACAGCACCCUGAUGGAGAUACUGCCAAGCUUCUGUUCAGCAGUGUCUCCCUUCAGCCUCCCUGCAGCUGCAGACCUAACACCAAAGCCAGCCGACAGCAAAUAUCCUUCUCUUUGUGAGCAAAUGACUGUGGAUGGUACAAGCUUAUUUGACAAUAACGAAAUUUGUUUCGAGUAAGGAUAACACAGGGAAAAAAAAAAAAAAAACCUAAUCAGAACAUUGUUAUUUUGACACAUUUAGUUACCUUUUAGAAAGUGCCCUCCUAAUUUGCAGUUUGACGGGAUCUCAGCAUCCAGUAGAAAGCUGGGGAUUUUUCAUCCCAUUGACAGGAAUCCAUUAAUAAAACAACAAUCUUUUGUGUAUAGUAAUCUUUA